rnacentral:rRNA from 1 species
CCUACGGGCGGCAGCAGUGGGGGAUAUUGCACAAUGGGGGGAACCCUGAUGCAGCGACGCCGCGUGGGUGAAGGAGGGUUUCGGCGCGUAAAGCCCUAUCGGCAGGGAAGAAGAAGGACGGUACCGGACGAAGAAGCCCCGGCUAACUACGUGCCAGCAGCCGCGGUAAGACGGAGGGGGCAAGCGUUAUCCGGAUUUACUGGGUGGAAAGGGGGCGCAGACGGCAGCGCAAGCCAGGAGUGAAAGCCCGGGGCCCAACCCCGGGACUGCUCUUGGAACUGCGCGGCUGGAGUGCAGGAUGGGCAGGCGGAAUUCCUGUUGUAGCGGUGCAAUGCGUCGAUCUCAGGAGGAACCCCGGUGGCGACGGCGGCCUGCUGGACUGCGACUGACGUUGAGGCCCG